rnacentral:misc_RNA from 1 species
CGAAAAGCUAUCCAUUCGAAGCAGAAAGAGCAAUUAACAAUGGCUUCAAAUGCCUCAAUUUUCACCCGCAAUUCUCUCUUAUCUGUACAGGUCGUGGGGUUUCCCCGAUUACCCGUUUCUCAACUCCAUGCCCGAACCCGAAUUCAGCCAAACCCACCUCAUACAACCCGACUCGGACUGUCUUCUUCUUCUAUCAGUUCUUCAACUAAUGGAUUGAAAAGUUUGUAUCUUUCUGAUGUUGGGGCUAGAUGGUUUGUUUCUAGAAGUAAGUUUCAGAUGUCAGCGGUUUCAGGCGACGGAGGUGGUGGUUAUGGAGGUUCCGGUGAUGGAAAUUCAGGUGGUGGUG